rnacentral:rRNA from 1 species
GAUGAACGCUGGCGGCGUGCCUAAUACAUGCAAGUCGAGCGAACGGACGAGAAGCUUGUUUCUCUGAUGUUAGCGGCGGACGGGUGAGUAACACGUGGAUAACCUACCUAUAAGACUGGGAUAACUUCGGGAAACCGGUGCUAAUACCGGAUGAUAUUUUGAACCACAUGGUUCAAAAGUGAAAGAUGGUCUUGCUGUCACCUAUAGAUGGAUCCGCGCUGCAUUAGCUAGUUGGUAAGGUAACGGCUUACCAAGGCAACGAUGCAUAGCCGACCUGAGAGGGUGAUCGGCCACACUGGAACUGAGACACGGUCCAGACUCCUACGGGAGGCAGCAGUAGGGAAUCUUCCGCAAUGGGCGAAAGCCUGACGGAGCAACGCCGCGUGAGUGAUGAAGGUCUUCGGAUCGUAAAACUCUGUUAUUAGGGAAGAACAUAUGUGGAAGUAACUGUGCACAUCUUGACGGUACCUAAUCAGAAAGCCACGGCUAACUACGUG